GUAGAGAAAGAGCAGGAGCAGACUGCUUUAUCAGAGAUGCCAUGCCAGGCUCAGGGAGAGCUGUUCCCAGCCCCAAAGCAGGAAGAGCAGCUCAGGCAGCAGGUGGAAGAGGCACAGCAGAAUGGCCAGAACAUUUACAAACAGAUGCCGGCAGAGCUGCAGGAAACUGAGGCUAGGAACAAGGCAAGGAAGAAGAGGCCAGAAGAAAUUCUUGAAAUCCUCAUAAAGAAAUUUAAACUCCUCCUUCAGGAGAAAAUGGCUCUAGAUGCGAAAGUGCAUGUGUUGACAUCCUACCUGGAAGCCUUUGAAGAGUUCCAGCAAAUGACAGGAGACCAAGAGACCCAAGACUGGAGUGAGGCCCAGGAACCAAACCAACCAGAGAUGCUGCAGGAUAAGCACAUCCCCAGGAUGGUGCAGGAAAAGACAAAUCAAGACCGGGAGGUAAAAACAUUAGAACGAGGAGCUGCAAUGUGCCUGCAGCCUA